rnacentral:rRNA from 1 species
AUUAUACAGCGAAACUGCGAAUGGCUCAUUAUAUAAGUUAUCGUUUAUUUGAUAGUACCUUACUACUUGGAUAACCGUGGUAAUUCUAGAGCUAAUACAUGCUGAAAAUCCCGACUUCGGAAGGGAUGUAUUUAUUAGAUUAAAAACCAAUGCCCUCUGGGCUCUCUGGUGAUUCAUAAUAACUUCUCGAAUCGCAUGGCCUUGCGCCGGCGAUGGUUCAUUCAAAUUUCUUCCCUAUCAACUUUCGAUGUUUGGGUAGUGGCCAAACAUGGUUGCAACGGGUAACGGAGGGUUAGGGCUCGACCCCGGAGAAGGAGCCUGAGAAACGGCUACUACAUCCAAGGAAGGCAGCAGGCGCGCAAAUUACCCAAUCCCGAUUCGGGGAGGUAGUGACAAUAAAUACUGAUACAGGGCUCUUUUGGGUCUUGUAAUUGGAAUGAGUACAAUUUAAAUCCCUUAACGAGGAACAAUUGGAGGGCAAGUCUGGUGCCAGCAGCCGCGGUAAUUCCAGCUCCAAUAGCGUAUAUUAAAGUUGUUGUGGUUAAAAAGCUCGUAGUUGAACCUUGGGCCUGGCUGGCCGGUCCGCCUCACCGCGUGUACUGGUCCGGCCGGGUCUUUCCCUCUGUGGAACCCCAUGCCCUUCACUGGGUGUGGCGGGGAAACAGGACUUUUACUUUGAAAAAAUUAGAGUGCUCCAGGCAGGCCUAUGCUCGAAUACAUUAGCAUGGAAUAAUGAAAUAGGACGUGCGGUUCUAUUUUGUUGGUUUCUAGGACCGCCGUAAUGAUUAAUAGGGACAGUCGGGGGCAUCAGUAUUCAAUUGUCAGAGGUGAAAUUCUUGGAUUUAUUGAAGACUAACUACUGCGAAAGCAUUUGCCAAGGAUGUUUUCAUUAAUCAGGAACGAAAGUUAGGGGAUCGAAGACGAUCAGAUACCGUCGUAGUCUUAACCAUAAACUAUGCCGACUAGGGAUCGGACGAUGUUAUUUUUUGACUCGUUCGGCACCUUACGAGAAAUCAAAGUG